CGGCAGGGUGCAGCAAUGCGCCUGAGAGCGGCGGACUGGUGAGUAGCGCGUGGGUAACCUACCCUUGGGAUGGGGAUAGCCAUUAGAAAUAGUGGGUAAUACCGAAUACGGUUGCGAGGCAGGGGCUUUGCAACGAAAGGGGCUUCGGCUCCGCCCGGGGAUGGGCCCGCGUUCCAUUAGCUAGUUGGUGGGGUAAGGGCCUACCAAGGCGAUGAUGGGUAGCCGGCCUGAGAGGGUGAACGGCCACACUGGGACUGAGAUACGGCCCAGACUCCUACGGGAGGCAGCAGCUAAGAAUAUUCCGCAAUGGACGAAAGUCUGACGGAGCGACGCCGCGUGGAUGAAGAAGGCCGAAAGGUUGUAAAGUUCUUUUGUUGCUGAAGAAUAAGCGGGGGAGGGAAUGCCCUCGUGAUGACGUUAGGCGACGAAUAAGCCCCGGCUAAUUACGUGCCAGCAGCCGCGGUAACACGUAAGGGGCGAGCGUUGUUCGGAAUUAUUGGGCGUAAAGGGCGCGUAGGCGGUUAUGUAAGCCUGGCGUGAAAUGGUAGGGCUUAACCCUAUCACGGCGUUGGGAACUGUGUAACUUGAGUCAUGGAGGGGGAGUUGGAAUUCCGCGUGUAGGGGUGAAAUCUGUAGAUAUGCGGAAGAACACCGGUGGCGAAGGCGAACUUCUAGCCAAUGACUGACGCUGAGGCGCGAAAG
rnacentral:rRNA from 1 species